rnacentral:rRNA from 1 species
AACGAACGCUGGCGGCAUGCCUAACACAUGCAAGUCGAACGAGACCUUCGGGUCUAGUGGCGCACGGGUGCGUAACGCGUGGGAACCUGCCCUUAGGUUCGGAAUAACUCCCCGAAAGGGGUGCUAAUACCGGAUAAUGUCUUCGGACCAAAGAUUUAUCGCCUUUGGAUGGGCCCGCGUUGGAUUAGCUAGUUGGUAGGGUAAAAGCCUACCAAGGCGACGAUCCAUAGCUGGUCUGAGAGGAUGAUCAGCCACACUGGGACUGAGACACGGCCCAGACUCCUACGGGAGGGAGCAGUGGAGAAUAUUGGACAAUGGGCGAAAGCCUGAUCCAGCAAUGCCGCGUGAGUGAUGAAGGCCUUAGGGUUGUAAAGCUCUUUUACCCGGGAUGAUAAUGACAGUACCGGGAGAAUAAGCACCGGCUAACUCCGUG